AAUCGUCGAAAGAAUUGUGGGAUAAAC
rnacentral:sRNA from 1 species